ensembl:lncRNA
UUACAAGAAAGCACAGGAAAUAUAUACUGUAUAUAUAUAUAUAUAUUUUACAGAUAUUUAACCCCUUUUUUUGGGUAGGCACACAACUACCUUUCUACUUUUUUUAGACCUGCACAGGUUACCUUCAGAUGAGUCCCGUGACACUUGUCUCCCCUUUCCAUAAAGGGGCCAUAAUAAUGCAAAUACAUCAAAGGAGAGAAGAGUGACUGAUACCAAGAGUGGAGAUGUGGGAUUUGGAUAAGAUGGAGGAGCGGAGGAUGCACUGUAUGCGGAUGAAAGGAUGAGGACAUUUCCGAUGGAGGAGAGGAACGUGUUGAACAGAAAAGAGACUGAGAUCAAAAUCAAAGACUUCCAAACUGGAUUGGACACAGCAGGGGAAGAGAAGGAGUAGGUCCGAUCAGGGACGACGGACAGAGG